CUGGUGGUAUAUUUUUUGGAUAUCUCAAAUUUAUGUGAUGAAUGUGAAUUGUGAAAAAGGACACAAUAAGAGUAAAAACUGAGUAAUAUUAGGAAGAUCUCAUUAUCUGCUUUAUACCUUAGCAGCGGCUAUGCAACCUAGAAUGCUUGUGACAUUUGAUGAGGAACUGAAUCCACUGCCCAUACCUGUGCGAGUGGGAUUGGCUGUUGAUGUGGUUGGUCAGGCAGGCAAACCAAAGACAAUUACUGGUUUCCAAACUCACACUACUCCUGUUCUGUUGGCUUAUGGUGAAAGAGCUGAAUUAGCCACCGAAGAAUAUGUAGCCUUAACACCAAUUAUGGAAGGUUUUGUGAUUUUAAGGAAAAAUCCUGAUUUCAAUCCAUAAUUUUUGUGCUGAUAUAAACUUUUUCUAAAAUCCUGUAAUGUUAGGAAUGUAAUAAAUAUAAUAAUAUUACCAACAA